GCUGUCGCUGGCCAAUUCCCGGGAUGGCAGCGGACGCUACCUGUUCGGUGGCAGCAACGAUGCUGACGCCCCGUUCCAGCGGAGCGGCGGCACC
rnacentral:tRNA from 1 species